GGCCCCGUAGUUCAGCUGUAUAGAACGUCGGAUUCCGGUUCCGAAAGUCGUGGGUUAGAAUCCCGCCGGGGUCA
rnacentral:tRNA from 1 species